AUCUGGCAGCUAUCUGCGUCUGGAGAUAGUGGAGUACCUGAAGUGGUAGCUGAUCCUCUAGGUGAAGUUUCGAGGACAUUUCAGGAGGUUGGAAUAUGUGUUGUGCAACAAUGUGCUAAGAUUCGCCAACAAGUCUCAGCAGCAGUGACCUAUGAUAAAUCUAUCAAGGCAAUAAGAGUGAGGGUACCAGAUUCAGAUGAUGAAUUUCUUCUCCAUCCUGCAACUGUGAGACGGAAUGACCACUCUGCCCAAAGUGUGGUAUGACUAGAUUUAUUUGGAAGCACCAAGUAUAGAGCUCUUUUGUCUGUUCUUUUUUUCUUUCUCAGAGUAGCACACUAUUUCUGCAAGAUGACGUGCAUAUAAUGUUUGAUUUAUGACACUGGUCCUUCAAGAAAA